rnacentral:misc_RNA from 1 species
GUGAAUCAUCGAAUCUUUGAACGCACAUUGCGCCCAUUGGUAUUCCAUUGGGCAUGUCUGUUUGAGCGUCAUUACAACCCUCGGUCACAACCGGUUUUGAGUUGGCCCGGGCCUCGCGCCCCGCCCGCUUUAAAGUUGUAAGCUCUGCUGGCCUCCGCGCCCGACCAGAACAUAGUAAAUCUCAUGCCUUGUUCAACGGUUAAGCACGGACGGUUCGGCCUGAACAAAACCUCCAAACUCAAGGUUUGACCUCAGAUCAGACAAGGAUACCCGCUGAACUUAAGCAUAUCAAUAAGCGGA